GUUUUGUGGCUCAGUGGUAGACUGCUUGCCUAGCACACAUGAGGCACUGGAUUCAAUCCUCAGCAUCACACA
rnacentral:tRNA from 1 species